UGGUGAUCUAUUUUAUUCCUUCAUUUAUCGCAGACACCCCCGCCGCGAAACAAAGCCGGCUCCGGGCACAACAAGCCGAGCUGUGGCGGGUAAAAAGUUGAAAGUUUCCGCAAGAAACGUUCCAGCGGUGAAGCCAAAAAAUAAAUUGGUUUCCACACGGAUCAGACAAAAAUAAGAAGACAAACAAAGAUUCCACAAAUGAAAAAUACAAAAAUAAAUAAAACGCUGUGCUA